UCUUCAUAUUAUCUUAUACAGAUGGCAUACUAAACGUUCAAGUAAUGAGGAAUCAAUGCAGCAUAUGCUGGCUACUGGAAGGGCUAAGACAAAAGAUGGUACUCUUAUUAUAUCGGCAGUCAUAAAAGCCGAUAAUGGUGCUUUUUUUUGCACUGUGACAAACUCAGAGGGAACCGAAACAUUCAAAGUAGAUUUAUCUGUAACAUCUGCAUUAAGCGCUAGCAUACAGCCCGCCGUACAGACAGUUAGUCUGGGUCAUACUGCUGAUUUAGUUUGCAGUGUAUCUGGAUUUCCCACACAAAAUAUUAUUUGGAUGAAAGAUGGCGGUACCUUGCGCACAGGUUCUCGUGUACGACUCUUAUCCAAUGAGCAUAUUCAUAUCUCGUCCAUCGUAAAAGAAGAUAAGGGAAUGUAUCAAUGUAUUCUUAAAAACGAUUUUGAAUCUAUUCAGAGCUCCGCUGAAUUAAGAUUAGGAGAAGUUGCCCCUCAGUUGCUCUACAAGUUCAUUGAACAAACUAUGCAGCCAGGUCCAUCCGUAUCAUUAAAGUGCAGCGCUAGUGGAAAUCCGACACCAAAAAUUGUGUGGUAUGUGGAUGGGUUUCCUUUGCCUAACAAUGAUAGACUCAUGAUCGGUCAAUAUGUGACCAUGUUUGGGGAUGUCAUAUCUCACGUAAAUAUUACGGCAGUAAAGUCAGAAGACGGAGGAGAUUAUGAAUGUAGAGCUCUCUCAAAAGCUGGAGUGGCAUCGCACUCUGCUCGCCUUAACAUCUAUGGAAUGCCGUACAUACGUCAUAUGUCAAAGCUGUCGGCGGUGGCUGGUAAGGUUUUUACACUCAAGUGUCCUAUAGCUGGAUAUCCCAUCGACACAGUUAACAUUGAAAAAGACGGCGUUAGGUUACCCAUAAACAUAUGACAGCGUAUGCAAAACGGAACCUUAACUAUUGAAAACGUGCAACGCGGUGCAGAUCAGGGCACCUACACUUGCAUUGCUCGGAAUAAGCACAAUUACACUUCUCAGCGGUCAGUUGAAGUUCAAGUUUUAGAGAGAAGUAAGAGUUUUCCUUAUCUUUGUUGCAUCAUGUUCAUCAUUAUUGGAACAUUUGAAGGAAUUCUUGGUCAGAGGACUUAUUAAUAGAAAAUACAUAGAAGUAUUGCUCAAUACCUCAAUACCUCAAAUUUCAGGAAAAUAGACAAAUUAAGAUGUCCGUCCGGAACAGUUGAAAGGCAACACUAGUCACAAAAAUCCAUCUUUUUUUUACAUCAAAUCUACUUUUUUACAGAGUUCGAGCUCCAACAUUUUUAAAAUUGUUUGAUCUUGAGAAUCCUUUAACUAGUUUUAACAAACCUCUACAGCUAUCAAGCGACCUUAAAACUUUUUAGGGUUAAGUUUACCGUCUCAUAGUGGGUGAAAUAACCAAUCCAGCAAAAAAGAAAAAGAAAAAAAAAU
rnacentral:misc_RNA from 15 species